UCCUGCCUCAGCCUCCGGAGUAGCUGGAAUUAUAGCAAUACAUGUCUACUGAGAAAAAUUAUGAAGAAAAAGAUAAAAGUAGAAAGAUGUGUCAAUGCAAAUAUAACAAAGGAUGCUACAAGGAUGAUUAGGUAUUGUGCAUAUGCCAGGAAAUAUUUUUCAAAUGAGUGAGUCAAUAAAUGAGAGAAUAGGUUCUGGCUGA
rnacentral:lncRNA from 1 species